rnacentral:rRNA from 1 species
UCAAAUGUAUGUUGACGUAUUCUGAAAGGGAUACUCUUCGGACAAUAUACAAGGUGCUGCAUGGUUGUCGUCAGCUCGUGCCGUGAGGUGUCGGGUUAAGUCCCAUAACGAGCGCAACCCCUAUCAUUAGUUGCCAUCAGGUCAAGCUGGGGACUCUAAUGAAACUGCCUACGCAAGUAGUGAGGAAGGUGGGGAUGACGUCAAGUCAUCAUGGCCCUUAUGUCCAGGGCGACACACGUGCUACAAUGGCCGGCACAGCGGGAAGCGAGGCAGUGAUGCCAAGCGGAUCCCUUAAAGCCGGUCUCAGUUCGGAUUGAAGUCUGCAACUCGACUUCAUGAAGCUGGAAUCGCUAGUAAUCGCAGAUCAGCCAAGCUGCGGUGAAUACGUUCCCGGGCCUU